AGAGUUUGAUCAUGGCUCAGGAUAAACGCUGGCGGCGCACAUAAGACAUGCAAGUCGAACGGACUUAAUCGAUUCUUUUAGAUUCGAAGCGGUUAGUGGCGGACUGGUGAGUAACACGUAAGCAACCUACCUAUUAGAGGGGAAUAACAGUGAGAAAUCACUGCUAAAACCGCAUAUGCCGUGAACAUCGCAUGAUGAAAACGGGAAAAGAGCAAUCUGCUAAUAGAUGGGCUUGCGUCUGAUUAGCUAGUUGGUGUGGUAACGGCAUACCAAGGCAACGAUCAGUAGCCGGACUGAGAGGUUGAACGGCCACAUUGGGACUGAGAUACGGCCCAGACUCCUACGGGAGGCAGCAGUCGGGAAUAUUGCGCAAUGGAGGAAACUCUGACGCAGUGACGCCGCGUAUGGGAAGAAGGUUUUCGGAUUGUAAACCAUUUUAGACAAGGAAGAAACAAGACAGUACUUGUAGAAUAAGCUCCCGG
rnacentral:rRNA from 1 species